UACGGGGGGAGCAAGCGUUGUUCGGAUUUACUGGGCGUAAAGGGCGCGUAGGCGGCCACGCAAGUCGAUUGUGAAAUCUCCGGGCUUAACCCGGAAAGGUCAACCGAUACUGCGGGGCUAGAGUGCGGAAGGGGCAACUGGAAUUCUUGGUGUAGCGGUGAAAUGCGUAGAUAUCAAGAGGAACACCUGCGGCGAAGGCGGGUUGCUGGGCCGACACUGACGCUGAUGCGCGAAAGCUAGGGGAGCGAACGGG
rnacentral:rRNA from 1 species